UACGUAGGGGGCUAGCGUUAUCCGGAAUUACUGGGCGUAAAGGGUGCGUAGGUGGUUUCUUAAGUCAGAGGUGAAAGGCUACGGCUCAACCGUAGUAAGCCUUUGAAACUGGGAGACUUGAGUGCAGAAGAGGAGAGUGGAAUUCCAUGUGUAGCGGUGAAAUGCGCAGAGAUAUGGAGGAACACCAGUGGCGAAGGCGGCUCUCUGGUCUGUAACUGACGCUGAUGUGCGAAAGCGUGGGGAUCAAACAGGAUUAGAUACCCU
rnacentral:rRNA from 1 species